UUUAUCUUCCAAAUCAGUCCUACAUUGAUUCUUCACAGAUCAUAUGAGACCAAAGGGUACCUGGAGAGUGAAUAAAUAAAAUGAAUGAGAAUCAGCAAAGCAGACAACAUCAAUUAACAACAACACAACUCAUCAAUUAAGUGCCGAAAACCCAAAUGCUCUCACUCGAAUGCAAAACCUAGCACCUUAGAAUUAGACCUUAGAGUCCAUGUUCAAUUUAUUUUUAGCCUUAGAUGAAAAAAUUGCUGCAACAGUAAAGAAAACUUCAGGGAUACUAGCUGAGGCAAUGGAACAGUACUAUUUAGAGAUUUUUUGCCAUCUGAAAAAAUAACUAGGGCUUUUU
rnacentral:lncRNA from 1 species